rnacentral:rRNA from 1 species
CACAUACAAGUCGAACGGUAGCACAGAGAGCUUGCUCUUGGGUGACGAGUGGCGGACGGGUGAGUAAUGUCUGGGAAACUGCCCCGAUGGAGGGGGAUAACUACUGGAAACGGUAGCUAAUACCGCAUAACGUCUUCGGACCAAAGUGGGGGACCUUCGGGCCUCACACCAUCGGAUGUGCCCAGAUGGGAUUAGCUAGUAGGUGGGGUAAUGGCUCACCUAGGCGACGAUCCCUAGCUGGUCUGAGAGGAUGACCAGCCACACUGGAACUGAGACACGGUCCAGACUCCUACGGGAGGCAGCAGUGGGGAAUAUUGCACAAUGGGCGCAAGCCUGAUGCAGCCAUGCCGCGUGUAUGAAGAAGGCCUUCGGGUUGUAAAGUACUUUCAGUGGGGAGGAAGGCGUUAAGGUUAAUAACCUUGACGAUUGACGUUACCCGCAGAAGAAGCACCGGC